ensembl:lncRNA
GGAAACUGCUGGUGCCCCCCUGGAGCAGGGGUUUGGACUGGAUGGGCUCCAGAGGUCCCUUCCAACCUCAACCAACCCAUGGCAAUUUGAAUAUGUGUCAUGGAUUCUACACAAGGCAAUCCAAACAUCCUCACCUCGUGUCCGUCCCUCAGCCCGGGUGGGGAGAGCACAGAACGGGCUGGGGGGNNNNNNNNNNNNNNNNNNNNGGAGGGGGGGAUUCUGCCCCUCUGCCCCGCUCAGGUGAGACCCCACCUGCAGAGCCGCCUCCAGCCCUGGGCGCCCAGCGCAGGAAGGAGCAGGAGCCAGUCCAGAGGACGUACCAGGAUGAUCAGAGGGAUGGAGCAGCUCUGCUGGGAGGAAAGGCUGGGAAAUUGGAAUUGUCCAGCCUGGAAGAGAGAAAUUUCGGGGUGACCUUAUUGUGGUCUUCCAGUACCAGAAGGGAGACUACAAAGGGGAUGGCUUCACACAGACAGUAGGGUUAGAUUGAAUAUUAGGAAGAAGUUGUUCCCUGUGAGGGUGUGGCUGCCUCUGAAUCCCUGGAAGUGUCGAAGGCCAGGCUGGACAGGGCUUGGAGCAGUCUGGGACAGUGGGAAGAGCUUUAAGGUCUCUUCCCGCCCAAACCAUUCUGGGGUUGUNNNNNNNNNNNNNNNNNNNNCGCUCUCCCGCCCACAGUGGGCACGCGGGUCCCUGAGGGGAAUUCCGCCGGGUUUGGAUCCCGGCGGGUCCCGAUCCCGAUCCUAAUCAUAAUCCUAAUGCUAAUCGCGAUCCCGAUCCCAAUCCCGGUCCCCAGUCCGGGGCCCUGCCUGCCUCGUUGGCCGAGGGCUGCUCCGUCACCUGGAGCCCACCCGGUGUCCUGGAUGCUGCAGGUGAGGCGGAGGCAGCCCCGGGGUGUCCUCACGGCCUGAGGGGGCUCUGGCCGCGCGGAUCGAGUUCUCUCCGGGAGUCGUUUAUUCCAGGUUAUUUUUAUUAGGAAGUUGUUUCAAAUUCAAGACACAUAGACGAUAAAAUGCCACUUCGGAACACAUCAUAGGGAAGUGAAAGCUAAUUUCAGCCACAGAGUUAAGCUUGUUUUCUUUCAAAGCAAGAGGUAAUUCUGCCACAGACCUGGCAGCAUGAACUGAAAUGCCAGUUCUGUCCAAAAUCAGAAUUUAUGCUGUGCCAUACACAUUAUCCUGGAAGUGGUUAGUGUUUUGGAGAACCUUGUGGCUGGAGCACCAAUAGAGAUGAAAAAGAUUGAAAAGCUUUAUUUAUGUACAUUUUCUAUGAACAGCAUCCGAUGCUGUUAAUCCAUAGCCUGCAAAGGCUGUACAAUACAGCAUUUGAGGGCUUAAGACAACUCAAUUUCUAUUUCAAGACACAUGAAACGUGUUUUGUUAUAAAACUAUCAGUAUCAAGACAAGUGAAAUACUACUCUUCUUUGUUGGGAUGUCACAAGGCUGAGCUUCAUCAGCUGCUGUGUGAUUUCUGAGAGGUACCAAAACUGGCUGAGGUUUCCCUGUGACAAAGGAAGCUCCCACCAAAAUCAGUAACUUAGAAAAAUUAGACAAGGGAAAUGUGAAUAAGGAUGUUUAGAGAUACAGUAAGAACAACUUACAUCUUUAUGCUGUAGAACAAAUUGACAGGAGAACAAGAAAAUGUGUGUGAUGUGAUCACCUGGAGGGAUCUGAUCCUUUGGCACUUUCCUCUGACACAGGUGCAAGGGACAGGAUAAAUGGGUAUUUUUGCUGCCUUAUAUGGCAGUAACUCUGAAAAAAUACCUUCAGUUACUAAGAUGCAGAGAAAACUGCAAUUGUAUUAAGCACCUCACAACAGCAGGAAACUACAAAAGACCUUCCUCCCUGGAUUCUGUUAAAGGCACUAGUAUAUGAAUAAGAUGUUGAUUUCCAGCUUAAUUUAUACCAAUAACUUAGAGAACUAAACCAGUAACAGGUAUUGUCCUGUGCCUGGUAUGCAGUGCAACUAUCCCCUAAACCUAAAUAACUGCAACCCUAGAGCUUAUGCAGGAAUGCUCAGAAAAUUAAUGCUUUCUUUAGAGGAAGAAAAAAACAAAUCACAAACCCAAAACAUUUCAGCAGAAAGUUUGGUGGCUCGAGUCUGAAUUUAUAGAAGGUUUUUUUUCUGCCACUUUUUCCUGUUUUCCUAAGGCACUGGGGUGGUUCUGUACUCCUGGGGGAGUGGAGGGCUGGGGAAGCAACAGCACGUUCUGCAAGCUGCGUUGGCAUUCAGUGCAUCUCCAAGCAGGAGUGGGCAUCUUCCAACUUACUCAAGAGAUAAUAAAUAAAAAGACAAACUCUGGUCCUGUCA